GAUCCUAGCUCGGGAUGAACGCUAGCGACAGGCCUAACACAUGCAAGUCGAGGGGCAGCGGAGAGGUAGCAAUACCUUUGCCGGCGACCGGCGCACGGGUGAGUAACACGUAUGCAAUCCACCUGUAACAGGGGGAUAACCCGGAGAAAUCCGGACUAAUACCCCAUAAUAUGGGCUCUCCGCAUGGAGGGUCCAUUAAAGAGAGCAAUUUUGGUUACAGACGAGCAUGCGCUCCAUUAG
rnacentral:rRNA from 1 species